rnacentral:rRNA from 1 species
GCUUAUACUCGACCGUCAGCGGCACGUGCGAUCGCGCGUUUCGGCGCGCGAUCACGAAGCCCUGACGAGUAGGAGGGUCGCGGCGGUGAGCGCAGAAGGGCUGGCCGCGAGGCCGUCUGGAGCCGCCGUCGGUGCAGAUCUUGGUGGUAGUAGCAAAUACUCCAGCGAGGCCCUGGAGGACUGACGUGGAGAAGGGUUUCGUGUGAACAGCCGUUGCACACGAGUCAGUCGAUCCUAAGCCCUAGGCGAAAGCCGAUGUCGAUGCGGUGUGGAUUUCUUUAUUUUUCGUACAAUGCGACGACGACGGCGACGAAGAGCGAGACAAAUGUUAAUUCGUUCGUUUCGACGACGACGGCGACGACGUAUCGGAAAGUCGAUCUCGUACACACCCAUCGGGCGAAAGGGAAUCCGGUUCCUAUUCCGGAACCUGGCAGCGGAACCGUCAAAAAGUCGGGC